GUGGGGAUGUCAUAUGGAGCUGCAGAGACAGACAGGGACAAUGAGUCUUCGGCUUCAUUUGAUCGCUGAUUUGAGCGUGUAAUUCUGACUGGUGAGUUUAUGACAAUAAUAACAUAGUGGAUUAUUUGAAUACUAUCAAAAUUGUGAUAUUUGUUGUUUCCCAACAAAAGAAAUGGAGGACGCAGAGGUCCGACAACAGAAGCUGGACAAUCAGCGUUCGCUUUUAAUCAAGAAACAACAAAGAAGAAGGGCAGAUGCCCAGAUGAUCACAGCUAAUCAUGACAUCCGUCCCAAGACACGCAAACAGAAAGCUGAGUCUGACGAUACAGCUUUAUUGAUAAGCCAGUCUCAGAGCAACAUUGCCCUCAGUGACAUGCAACCUGAGCAGAUUUAUGAAAACACGGUGGAAGAGAUUUGUUUAGGAGAACUGACCAUUUCAUCCAAGACAGAAGAGGCUUCGGAAGAGGUAGCUGAUUCUGUUCCGGUCAUCACUAAGAAAAUCAAUCUAGAGAUCAGCCCGCAGCACAGCGCUAAAUGCACUUUAGACAAAGAAGGCCAAUCAGAUGGAAAAAAAACUAAUAAGAAAGUACUUGAGGCCAAACCUGCAUUAGAAGGGGAGGAAAAUGAAGAGAAAGAGCAAAAACCAGUGAAGAAGAAGGAUAAGACAAAGGAAUCGAAGGAAAAAGUGAGGACAGAAGAACAGUCUUCAUCUCAGACUGAUUCAGUUGUGGAAAUCAACAUUAAUGAAGAGAAAAAACCUGAAUCAGAGAGUGAGGAUGAAAGAAAAGACUGGACAAAGAGCCCCAUCCCUCCAACACCAAAGAAAAAACAACAACUAAAACCAAUGAGAUGUCAUCUCAGUGACAGUGAGGAAGAAAAAGAGGACAAAGAGGAGGAGGACAAGAAGAGGGAAGCUAAAAAAACACCAAAAAAGUCUAAAAAAGGAGCAAAAAAUAAUGACAAUAUUGCUUCUUUAAACUCCAACUAUAAAGAGCCUACCUCCGACAGUGAUUCUUUGGACAUGGGA
ensembl:lncRNA